AGUGAACGCUGGCGGUAGGCCUAACACAUGCAAGUCGAACGGCAGCACAGGAGAGCUUGCUCUCUGGGUGGCGAGUGGCGGACGGGUGAGGAAUACAUCGGAAUCUACUCUGUCGUGGGGGAUAACGGAGGGAAACUUACGCUAAUACCGCAUACGACCUACGGGUGAAAGCAGGGGACCUUCGGGCCUUGCGCGAUUGAAUGAGCCGAUGUCGGAUUAGGUAGUUGGCGGGGUAAAGGCCCACCAAGGCGACGAUCCGUAGCUGGUCUGAGAGCAUGCUCAGCCACACUGGAACUGAGGCACGGUCCAGACUCGUACGGGAGGCAGCAGUGGGGAAUAUUGGACAAUGGGCGCAAGCCUGAUCCAGCCAUACCGCGUGGGUGAAGAAGGGCUUCGGGUUGUAAAGCCCUUUUGUUGGGAAAGAAAUCCAGCUGGCUAAUACCCGGUUGGGAUGACGGUACCCAAAGAAUAAGCACCGGCUAACUUCGUGCCAGCAGCCGCCGUAA
rnacentral:rRNA from 1 species